GAGCGCUCACGGAUAUGACGUAAUAUUUAUAAACAAGCGGGAUAUUUUAAAGACUUGCAAAAUUGUAGUUUACUUUUCAGACAAAAAUGGAGGAAAUUACCCCAAGGACUGUUAUCCAAGGAUUCAUGGAUGCUGCACAAACAAAUGAGACAGAGCGUCCCAGUAGGAAGUGCAAACGUUUGACAAGAACACCAGAGGCCGAUAGCAGGCUUAGUCGAUCCUUACCUUCCACUGAAAUCCGACUACACCAGCAGGAUGAAGACAUCACACAUGAGAUGAUUGAAAGCACACCAGUAAAAACAAGGUCUAUGUGGAAGAAAAGGGAGUCAA